ensembl:lncRNA
CUAUAUCCUGGGUAUCAACAUCUAGCUGCCAGAAGAGGCAAAAGAGAGAACAUGGAAGAUUUUCUGGGAGGUUAAUGUGGGCCAGUAACAUCUAUCACCUUCACCCACAUCCCGCUGGGCAGAACUCAGUCAUGUGCCCCCAUCACUAUCCACAGGGCAUUGCCUCUGGAAACCGUAACCCCAUGGACAUCUUGGUGGCUACAACAAUCAAUCAAGAGAACUCUGGGAACUAUUAGGCCUGUUCCUUAGAUUUUAGGAAGAUGAGUUUCGAAACCAUAUGGCAAGAGACCAUAAAGGAGACAUGGCUCAGGGACAUGUCAAGCUCUAAAAUAAGUGAAAUUUUGAAUCUCAAGUCUAAAUGAAGAAUAAAAUGAAGAUGGUGGGGGGCAUUUAAAGAGAGCACUGGGGUCAUCCUGGGGGACCUUGCUGAUGGAUUCCUGUUUGAAACGACAUCUUCAUACAAGACAUCACAACAGAGGGAGGGGAUGAGCAGGCACAAAUGCGAGAAGAACAAAUCUGUCACAGCAGCUCUCAGAAAAUUGGGGCGCACCAUGGACCUAGGUUUACAAAAAAUCCUACAGAACAAAGGCAUGACUUUCACAAGCUAUAUUUGGAAAACAAAAGAAACAAGGGAGGGAUAAGCCCACCGCUUGGGACAGACAGCACCUGUUAGCCAAGAACAGAGCAAAGGCCAAAGGGCUGUCUGCGCAUUUUAUUUUAUCCCGAAGGGUGACUUUUCAUCUGAAAAAUUGUAGCAAAAGCAUUUUUAGGAGCAAAUUGAAGACCAGAAUAGAGGGCAAGAUUGUAAAGGAACAGCCAGCUGCCUCAGACUAAUUAAAGUUUCCAAAUCCAGGGGAAUGAUCUCCCCAAAUACAUAAGAACAUACAGAUAUGACCAGAGAACCCUCGUAGGUGCUACCUCCCACUGUGGAGCCCUUUCUGUUUGCUCCCUCUGCUGGGAGCUCCUGUGCCCCCAAACAGCCACAUUCACCUGAAUAAUUAGUACUCACACCUGGGGGCUCAGGUCAGGGGCCUCUUCUCCAGCCCUUCCUGGCUCCGAGGCUGGUAUGGACGCCCUGGCUCCGAAUUCCUGAGCUGUCCCACGGCACUGCCCUCAAAAGACUCAUCAAGUGACCCUGCCCACCACUUGUCGGCAAGAGAGCCUUACCCAUUCUCUGCUUCAGCACCCGGGCUCGGCACAGUGCCGAGACAAGCUCAGUGCUCAGCAGGUAUUUCUUGAAUUAAUGAAUCAACUGCACCACUAUGUCCUUCUUGACCCUUUCUCACAGAAGAGUUUGCCUGCCCCAAGGCAAAGCUAACUAGACCCUUUCAUGUGUGCAUGGAGUUACUGUCUGAAUGUUAGCAUACAGAGAUGCCUGCGUGUGUAGAUACACAUCGUGCAAACAAUUCUUUCUUGAGUUUACAGCUGCAGCACUUGCAUCUGGAAGAAUAGCCAACGCUUACGCCACUCAAUACGCCAACAAACAACCUCCACGAUUUUCCCCAGCCCAGCAUUUACAGUGCGUCAGGACGUUAAAAAUCCUCCCAACAGCCCUGAAAGGUAAACGUUAUACUCUCCCAUUUUAGAGUUGAGGGAAUAGGCUCUGAGAGGUAAAGCAUCCUGCCCAGGACCACACAGACGGAAGUGAGAGAAAGGGUAUUUAACCCCAGAUCUGCUCAGUCCAAACCUAGCACCUGGUCUUAGCUUCCCAGGGCUGCCUGAACAGAAUAUCAUAACUGGGGGCCUACAAAGACAGACAUUUAUUCUCCCACAGUUCUAGAGGCUGGACGUCCAAAAUCAAGUGUUGGCAGGACCCUUUUCCCGCUGAGACUUUGGGUGGAACCCUCCUUGCCCCCUCCCGGCUUCUCAGCAUUCCCUGACCUGCAGCUGCAUCCCCAGUCUCUGCGUCCGUCAUCACGUGGCCAUUCUCCUGUGUGUGUCUUCACAGCACGUCCCCUCUUCUUAGAAGGACUCCAAUCAUAUCGAUUAGGGCCUGCCCUCAUUACCUCAUCUUAACUAACCACGUAUGAAUAUCCCUAUUUCCAAAUAAGGUCAGAUUCUGAGGUACUAGGAUCAGGAUCCCGACAUAUGUUUUGUUGAACCUGGUUCCACCCACAUCACGCCUGCUCGCUAUUUGCUGCCUCCCUGAGCAAUGUGGGAGGGAUGUGAGCACGAUUCUCUUAACCUUGAGAUAACAGGGAACAAAUUGUUCUGGAGAGGCACAGCAGAACAAUACAACAAAGUAGAGAGGGAAUCCUAAAGAGCGCAUCUAAACAUCAAUUGCAUGAUUUCUACUUUCCAUUACAAAGUUUUAGUCCAUAAAUUGUUCCUUAAGCUAUUACCAUCUUAAUGGAGAUGCCACUGUCAUGAUGAAGUCUAACACAAGAAAGUCUGAGACUUAAACGUCGAUUUUUACAUCAGGGAUUUGACUUCACUACACAGACAAAAGGUUGGGAGUGAAAGCAGACACUCGAGUCAGCCUUCGGGCAGCUGACGGCCUUACGUGGAACCAAAGGGUGCUGCAGACUCACUGUGAACAGUGGGGGAGGGAGCCUGCUCUCCACACACAGUCUGGGCUUCUCUCCCGGAGCAGGGAGCUCGGCCAGGGGUUGUGUGACUACUUCUCAGAAGCGCAACGGGAGCUGAGGUGACGUGUGUCACUUCUAGGUCUCAUGGUCUCAUUCCCAUCCACUGGUUGGAGGUGAGGACAGCAAGGCUGCAGAGGCAUGAUGCCAGGAGUCCAGGGCCCUGAGUUACCAGGUCAAGGAAAACUGCCCACUGAGGGGGGCACUCACGGACCACCAGGUUAGGCAGGCAGAGCUGGCAGGGCAGGGGUCAUGGGUUACAGCAGGUAGUGCCAUCCUGAUUAACACAGAGAGUGGCACCUUAACACAGAGUGACACUAAAACAAAAACAAGUGACCUUGGCUUAGAUGACAAAGUUUAGGCAGCGAGGAAAUAAAUAACACAGGCUGGAAAAAGUGGAAACGAGUACUACAGAAAGGCAAAAUAUUUGGUAAAAUUGCCACCUGUCAUAACUUGGACAGACCACAUGCCUACGGAGCCUGCAUCUUUAGGAGAAGGGGUUGGAAAGAGCAUUAAUGUGUGUUAGCUUUGCUUGCUGCUUUCAGCAAGGUAUUACAAAACAAACCAAAAACGACCUUACGCAAAAGUUGGCUGAUUGGAAAUCACAGUUGGAAAUCACAAGGAUGGAAAAGCAAACUGCUCUAGAAUCUAAGUAAAAACCUGAAAAAUAAAAUCUUUGAGAAACAGAGGCCUGUGAGGUUCCUCAGUUAGAUAAAGUGAUUCCAUCUCAUGGUAAAAAUCAGCAUAAGUCUACUGAAGUCCACCCAUGCCUGUGCCUUCCAACGCCUCCGAAGCAGACACCAGUAAGCUGCAAGGUCGAGACCUGGGGAAAGGAGACAGACCAAGCAGUCAUGUGAACCUACCUCUGGCACGGACUUCACACGUGGUUCCUGAUACAUGGGACUGAGCGGGAACAAACAGAUCAGAAGUCCACUGUAUUUCUGAGGCAUCUGCACUGCCAAAGAAAUCACUAUAAUGAUCCAAUGAGUAUUCAAGUCUUAAAACCCUUGGGACCCCAAACUUUCAAAGGCAAAAUAUAAGCAGUGAAAACCCUGUAGACCCCUUGGACACUUCUUAAUGCCCACUUGAGAUGGGCUAUGGAGAAUAUUAGGAAAAAAAAUUUUUUCAGAGAAUGGAGCCAGGAUCCACAGAGAAAACUGACAGAGUUUCUCCCAGAGAACAGAGUAAGGACCCACUCUGGGAAGCCCUUCCCUUCAAGCUGGGUCCUGCAUUCUUUUGACAUUCCCCGUUAUUUAUUUUUUUUAUGAUGUUCUGCUUUUUCUGGCUCAUCUUUUGCUUUUCCUAUCACAGUCCUAGACUUGGAUAUUAUUCCAAGGAGCUCAACUUCCUGUUAAUGGGGAAUGGCAUUUGGUAACCAAAAUUUAGCAUGCUCAUUGCUAUUGGGACGUCUUUAUUUCUAGUUCUUUUCUGCAGAUAAACCUGGGGUGGUUAGGGGUAGGAGCUACACACAAGUAUAUCUGUUUGUCUCUUUCUAUCAUCUAAUAAUCAUUUGUCCUAGAAUCCGUGAGCUCACGCCAAUACCUCCAAUGCCGUCCAGCUCCAGAUGGCUCAUCCUCCCGCUCUCCAUAUUUGCAGCUCUUAUUCAAAGUGAGAAAACUGGCCCCCAUUUCCUCCAUAUAUUUACUCGUGCGUUCAAUCUCCAUUUUACUCGGAAUGUUUCAAAUUUCUAACCCGUACUACCGUGAAAAACAAACUAAUCUGAAUUCAUAUUUGUUUGCAAUUCUUUUUAUCUUCAGCACAAAGAUAUAAGUCAAGUGCUGUAUUCAAACUUUACUUGGUUAUUUAUUUCUCCCCUCAGUGUGGUUUUUUUAUUAAUUUGAAAUCGAGUCAGGUUCAUAGGUUUCUGUUUAUAUUCCAUUUUGAAGGUUUUUUUCACAUCCUUGUUGACAUGAUUAGAUAGUAUUUUUGAGUGUGUUCCAAAAGUCAAAAUUACAUGAAAAGGCACACUCAGAGAAAUAUUACUCCCUCCCCCGCCCAUAUCUUCCACCCUUUUCCCACCUGCUCACACAGGUAACCAUCUCACUCUCCGGUUUGUCUUUCCUGUUCCUUUUUACAGAUGUGUGUUGAAUAAGCUAUGGUGGAGCCACA